rnacentral:tRNA from 2 species
GGGGAUGUAGCUCAGCUGGGAGAGCGCUUGAAUGGCAUUCAAGAGGUCAGGGGUUCAAAUCCCCUCAUCUCCA